rnacentral:rRNA from 1 species
AUGUUGCUGGAAAAACUAGUGCCUCCAAGCACAUUGAGGAAGUUGAAAAUAUGUGGUUAUAACAGUGUCAUCUUUCCAGGCUGGGUAGUGGGCCAACUACCAAACCUGAAGUCACUGGUUCUCAGAGAUAUGGCAAAUCUGGAAGAAUGGGACACUUCAUACUCCACCGGUGAGGAGAACGUGUUAAACAGAGUAGACAUACAUGGUUGCCCAAUGCUAAGGAUGAAAGGGCCUCUGCCUAAAGCUAAACAAUGGGAGAUAAGAUGCAGUGAUAAUGUGUUAUCAUCAUGGGAUGAGUGCAUUGUGUCACACACCAGUACUUCCUCCUCUUCUUCUACAGUAACUACUUGGUUGUCAGUUAGAGACUGCAAGGGGCCUCAUCAAUGGAGGUGGCUUCAACACUUCCCUGGACUCCCUUCUUUGGAUAUUACCAAUUGCUGUGAUCUAACCAGCUCACCAGAGAUCAAUCAACAACUAUCCUCUUUACAGACACUGUCCCUAAGAGAUUUACACAUGGAAGAACUGCCAAUAUGGUUGGGCGAGCUCCCAUCUCUGAAGAAUCUAGAAAUAAGCGGCAGCGAUGGUGUAAAGGAGUUGAACGAGAACAUGAGGCAACUCAUAAAGCUUGAAUCACUAGAACUGAGCUUCUGCAAAAGCAUAUCAGUGUCACAUUGGCUGGGCGAAUUAACCUCUCUCAAGGAACUUUGCAUGAAUUACAAUUUUGGCUUGAGGUCUUUGCCGGCAAGCAUACAACAGCUCACCAUCCUCCAGGAAAUAACCCUUGAGUGGUGCAUUGCAUUAGAGCACGUGGUUGCUGAACCAGAGGAGGGAAAGAUGAAGCUAACUCACAACCAAGAAAUGGUAUGUCUCCUGCCCACCUCCCUUAGGAAGCUUAAGAUCACUGGAUGUAUUAGUAUCAAGUCUUUGCCCGAGGGAAUGCAGCAACUCACAAACCUCCAAGAACUUGAGAUUGUUACGUGCCCUGGACUAAAGCAAUGGUAUGAAUUAGAGGAGAACAAGAUGAAGCUGGCUCACAUAGAAGAGAAGAGUAUCUGGUUCUAG